CUCUGAUCAGGGGAAUUUUGAAGAACAUGGCUGGAAUUUCAAGACCUCUUGAGGUACUGGCAGCUUUGAUGCGUCCCACCCAGCAGCUGUGUGACCAAAGGUCUCAGAUGUGCUCCCCUGCUGGAGACAGAAAUCUAUAGACCAUUUCUGCCUGGUUUUCGAAGACAGUAUUGCUUUUUGCAGCCCCAGGGUGCAAACUUUGCCAUGAGUCUUACAGAGGCUGCAUUUCAUGAAUGUGUUUCAUAGACAUCUUUUCCUUCAGUGAUGGAAGCUCAUUCACAGUUCAUCAUUUAGCAGUUGAUGUAAACUGGAUGGACCGAUUCAACAGGCUUCCCUUUAUGACUGUAUUUAUCUCCCAGGGAAGACUUGCUUCUUCAAAUUCACAGGGGACAGUGAAGCUCAGGUUGCCUGUUACCGUCUCUCAUACCCAAGAGAUGCAAUCUAGCUUGUGGUUGUGAAAAUCAGUUUACCAUUUUACAUGCACCAUAAAACCAUCAUUAGAAUCAUAGAAUAUCCCGAGUUGGAAGGGACCCGUAAGGAUCAUCAAGUCCAACUCCUGGCACCGCACAGGUCUACCCAAAAGUUUAGACCAUGUGACUAAGUGCACAGUCCAAUCGCUUCUUAAAUUCAGACAGGCUUGGUGCAGUGACUACUUCACUGGGGAGCCUGUUCCAGUGUGCGACCACCCUCUCAGUGAAGAACCUCUUCCUGAUGUCCAGCCUAAACUUCCCCUGCCUCAGCUUAACACCGUGCCCACGGGUCCUGUCACUGGUGAUGACGGAGAAUAGGUCACCUGCCUCUCCACUCCUCCUGAUGAGGAAGUUGUAGACUGCGAUGAGGUCCCCCCUCAGCCUCCUCUUCUCCAGGAGGACGUGCAUGAAAUAAGUGAUAAAGAUAAUCCAUGUUCCACAUUUUAUUUGAAAUUAUUAAGAAAGUAAAUCACUAUAACAAAAUACUGUGAAAUACAGUGCAAAAAUGUUAAAUCUAGUUUAAAUUUGUAAAGGCUGUCUACAAAGAGACUGAAGAUAAGGGGGUCUAAUUUUUUUCUUUCUUUACAAUGCAUAGAAGAGGCCUGAAAAAUUAUAUGAAAAAAGGGACCCAUUCUCUUGUUUCAUAUUAACAAAAUGGGUUUAUGG